rnacentral:rRNA from 1 species
UGACCGUGCAAAGGUAGCGUAAUCACCUGUCUUUUAAAUAAAGACCUGUAUGAAUGGCAAGACGAGGGUUUUACUGUCUCCUCCCCCCAGUCAAUGAAAUUGAUCUACCCGUGCAGAAGCGGGUAUAAAAACAUAAGACGAGAAGACCCUAUGGAGCUUUAGGCAUAUAUCAAAUAUGUAAAAAACCAAAUUUUUCCAAAUAGGCCUAAAAAAUGAGAAAAACAAGUAUUAAUGAUUAAGUGCCUUCGGUUGGGGCGACCACGGGGAAAAAUAAAACCCCCACAUGGAAUGGGAAAAAUAACCCUAAGCCAAGAAAAACACUUCUAAGCAACAAAAUUUUUGACCAAAAAACGACCCAGGGACACCAUCCCUGAGCAAUGAACCAAGUUACCCUAGGGAUAACAGCGCAAUCCUUUCCCAGAGCCCAUAUCAACGAAAGGGUUUACGACCUCGAUGUUGGAUCAGGGCAUCCUAACGGUGCAGCCGCU